GCCGACGAGUGGCGAACGGGUGAGUAAGAUAUCGGAACGUGCCCAGUCGUGGGGGAUAACGUAGAGAAAUUUACGCUAAUACCGCAUACGAUCUAAGGAUGAAAGCGGGGGAUCGCAAGACCUCGCGCGAUAGGAGCGGCUGAUAUCAGAUUAGGUUGUUGGUGAGGUAAAAGCUCACCAAGCCGACGAUCUGUAGCUGGUUUGAGAGAACGACCAGCCACACUGGGACUGAGACACGGCCCUGACUCCUACGGGAGGCAGCAGUGGGGAAUUUUGGACAAUGGGCGAAAGCCUGAUCCAGCAAUGCCGCGUGCGGGAAGAAGGCCUUCGGGUUGUAAACUGCUUUUGUACGGAACGAAAAGGUCUGCCCUAAUACGGUGGGCUCAUGACGGUACCGUAAGAAUAAGCACCGGCUAACUACGUGCCAGCAGCCGCGGUAAUACGUAGGGUGCGAGCGUUAAUCGGAAUUACUGGGCGUAAAGCGUGCGCAGGCGGUUAUAUAAGACAGUUGUGAAAUCCCCGGGCUCAACCUGGGAAUUGCAUCUGUGACUGUAUAGCUAGAGUACGGUAGAGGGGGAUGGAAUUCCGCGUGUAGCAGUGAAAUGCGUAGAUAUGCGGAGGAACACCGAUGGCGAAGGCAAUCCCCUGGACCUGUACUGACGCUCAUGCACGAAAGCGUGGGGAGCAAACAGGAUUAGAUACCCUGGUAGUCCACGCCCUAAACGAUGUCAACUGGUUGUUGGGUGCAUUAGUACUCAGU
rnacentral:rRNA from 1 species